UUUUGUCUUCCUGCGUAGGCAGGCUGUGUUCUGUUAGCCAACCAGCUGUCUUCUCCCUGUAGCUCCACUCCUGUCUUGCACAGUAUGUCAUCUUGCAGACACACUGAAACAUUCUGCAACUGCAUCUCCCCCACACCCCCUCCAUCGGGUCUUCCUUCUGUUUUACACCAGAUGGAUUUGUUGAUGAUUGUGGAGGAUUCUGACAUUUAGAGUGACCUGCUGGCAGGGAAUGGAGAAAUACAGGCUGCUGGAAGAUGAAAAAGAUGCCACUUUCCCCUCAAUAGGAAAUAUUCACAUGUAUUACUAAAAAGCAUGAUGAAUCACAUUGUCAAUAUGAACUGGAAGAGAGAUAUUUGCCUGCACAUUCAUCCGGCCUUGGAAACUGAAAGCAUCGCAUGUGCAGGCCCCUGCAGGGCGCAACUGGAACAGACAGGAGAUGUAAAGUGCAUUUUUGGUGGGAGAGGACAGUGAAUGUAAUUAUAUAAUUGCCUUUGGUUGGAAAUGGGAAUGAGUACAAGCUUAAGGCUGCCAGCCAAUCUAAUGCAUGGUGUUCAGUUUCAUACAGCAAAUGUCUUCUAGUCGUAACAUGCACCACGUAGCAAAUUGUGUAUAAAUGCUGCCCUCGAUAGGU